AUUGAACGCUGGCGGCAGGCCUAACACAUGCAAGUCGAACGAGUGGCGGACGGGUGAGUAAUGUCUGGGAAACUGCCCGAUGGAGGGGGAUAACUACUGGAAACGGUAGCUAAUACCGCAUACCAUCGGAUGUGCCCAGAUGGGAUUAGCUAGUGGGUGGGGUAAUGGCUCACCUAGGCGACGAUCCCUAGCUGGUCUGAGAGGAUGACCAGCCAAACUGGAACUGGGACACGGUCCAGCCUCCUACGGGAGACAGGAGGGGGGAGUGUUGCAAAAUGGGCGCAAGCCUGCUGCAGCCAGGCCGCGUGUAUAAGGAAGGCCUUGGGGUUGUAAAGUACUUUCAGCGAGGAGGCGUUACUCGCAGAGGAAGCACCGGCUAACUCCGUGCCAGCAGCCGCGGUAAUAC
rnacentral:rRNA from 1 species